GGGGAAUAUUGCGCAAUGGGGGAAACCCUGACGCAGCAACGCCGCGUGAGUGACGAAGGCCUUCGGGUCGUAAAGCUCUGUCGGAGGGGAAGAAACUACCAAUGGCUAACAUCCAUAGGUAUUGACGGUACCCUCAAAGGAAGCACCGGCUAACUCCGUGCCAGCAGCCGCGGUAAUACGGAGGGUGCAAGCGUUGUUCGGAAUUACUGGCGUAAAGCGCGUGUAGGCGGCCUUUUAUGUCAGGUGUGAAAGCCCUCGGCCUAACCGAGGAAGUGCGCCUGAAACUGAUUGGCUUGAGUACGAGAGAGGAGGACGGAAUUCCCAGUGUAGAGGUGAAAUUCGUAGAUAUUGGGAGGGACACCGGUGGCGAAAGCGGUUCUCUGGAUCGAUACUGACGCUAAGACGCGAAAGCGUGGGGAGCAAAC
rnacentral:rRNA from 1 species